GAUGAACGCUAGCUACAGGCUUAACACAUGCAAGUCGAGGGGUAGCAGGGUAGCAAUACCGCUGACGACCGGCGCACGGGUGAGUAACACGUAUCCAACCUACCGUUUACUCGGGGAUAGCCUUUCGAAAGAAAGAUUAAUACCCGAUAGUAUAAAGAGUUCGCAUGUUCUCUUUAUUAAAGGAUUGCGGUAAAUGAUGGGGAUGCGUUCCAUUAGAUUGUUGGCGGGGUAACGGCCCACCAAGUCUUCGAUGGAUAGGGGUUCUGAGAGGAAGGUCACCCACAUUGGAACUAAGACACGGUCUAAACUCCUACGGGAGGCAGCAGUGAGGAAUAUUAGUCAAUGGGCGUUAGCCUGAACCAGCCAAGUAGCUUGAAGAAUGACUGCCUUAUGGGUUGUAAACUUCUUUUAUAAGGGAAUAAAACGGGGAACGUGUUCCCCUUUGCAUGUACCUUACGAAUAAGGAUCGGCUAACUCCGUGCCAGCAGCCGCCGUAA
rnacentral:rRNA from 1 species